GACGAACGCUGGCGGCGUGCUUAACACAUGCAAGUCGAACGAUGAAGCCUAGCUUGCUAGGUGGAUUAGUGGCGAACGGGUGAGUAAUACGUGAGUAACCUACCUUUAACUCUGGGAUAAGCCUGGGAAACUGGGUCUAAUACCGGAUACGACCAAUCUCCGCAUGGGGUGUUGGUGGAAAGCGUUAUGUAGUGGUUAUAGAUGGGCUCACGGCCUAUCAGCUUGUUGGUGAGGUAACGGCUCACCAAGGCGACGACGGGUAGCCGGCCUGAGAGGGUGACCGGCCACACUGGGACUGAGACACGGCCCAGACUCCUACGGGAGGCAGCAGUGGGGAAUAUUGCACAAUGGGCGCAAGCCUGAUGCAGCGACGCCGCGUGAGGGAUGACGGCCUUCGGGUUGUAAACCUCUGUUAGCAGGGAAGAAGAGAGAUUGACGGUACCUGCAGAGAAAGCGCCGGCUAACUACGUGCCAGCAGCCGCGGUAAUACGUAGGUCCCGAGCGUUAUCCGGAUUUAUUGGGCGUAAAGCGAGCGCAGGCGGUUAGAUAAGUCUGAAGUUAAAGGCUGUGGCUUAACCAUAGUACGCUUUGGAAACUGUUUAACUUGAGUGCAGAAGGGGAGAGUGGAAUUCCAUGUGUAGCGGUGAAAUGCGUAGAUAUAUGGAGGAACACCGGUGGCGAAAGCGGCUCUCUGGUCUGUAACUGACGCUGAGGCUCGAAAGCGUGGGGAGCAAACAGG
rnacentral:rRNA from 1 species